GACGAACGCUGGCGGCGUGCCUAAUACAUGCAAGUCGAGCGGAUUGAUGGGAGCUUGCUCCCUGAUAUCAGCGGCGGACGGGUGAGUAACACGUGGGCAACCUGCCUAUAAGACUGGGAUAACUUCGGGAAACCGGAGCUAAUACCGGAUAAUCCCUUUCCUCUCAUGAGGAAAGGCUGAAAGAUGGUUCACGCUAUCACUUAUAGAUGGGCCCGCGGCGCAUUAGCUAGUUGGUGAGGUAACGGCUCACCAAGGCAACGAUGCGUAGCCGACCUGAGAGGGUGAUCGGCCACACUGGGACUGAGACACGGCCCAGACUCCUACGGGAGGCAGCAGUAGGGAAUCCUCCGCAAUGGACGAAAGUCUGACGGAGCAACGCCGCGUGAGUGAUGAAGGUUUUCGGAUCGUAAAACUCUGUUGUUAGGGAAGAACAAGUACGAGAGUAACUGCUCGUACCUUGACGGUACCUAACCAGAAAGCCACGGCUAACUACGUGCCAGCCGCCGCAGUAA
rnacentral:rRNA from 1 species